AUUGAACGCUGGCGGCAUGCUUUACACAUGCAAGUCGAACGGUAACAGGCCGCAAGGUGCUGACGAGUGGCGAACGGGUGAGUAAUGCAUCGGAACGUGCCCAGUCGUGGGGGAUAACGCAGCGAAAGCUGCGCUAAUACCGCAUACGAUCUAUGGAUGAAAGCGGGGGACCGUAAGGCCUCGCGCGAUUGAAGCGGCCGAUGUCAGAUUAGGUAGUUGGUGGGGUAAAGGCUCACCAAGCCAACGAUCUGUAGCUGGUCUGAGAGGACGACCAGCCACACGGGGACUGAGACACGGCCCAGACUCCUACGGGAGGCAGCAGUGGGGAAUUUUGGACAAUGGGCGCAAGCCUGAUCCAGCAAUGCCGCGUGCAGGAAGAAGGCCUUCGGGUUGUAAACUGCUUUUGUACGGAACGAAACGGUCCUGGUUAAUACCUGGGGCUAAUGACGGUACCGUAAGGAUAAGCACCGGCUAACUACGUGCCAGCCGCCGCCGUAAAAC
rnacentral:rRNA from 1 species